rnacentral:rRNA from 1 species
UACGGAGGAUCCAAGCGUUAUCCGGAUUUAUUGGGUUUAAAGGGUGCGUAGGCGGAAUGAUAAGUCAGUGGUGAAAGCCUGCAGCUUAACUGCAGAACUGCCAUUGAUACUGUCAAUCUUGAGUACAUUUGAUGUGGGCGGAAUGUGUCAUGUAGCGGUGAAAUGCUUAGAUAUGACACAGAACACCGAUUGCGAAGGCAGCUCACAAAAACUGUAACUGACGCUGAGGCACGAAAGCGUGGGUAUCAAACAGG